GACGAACGCUGGCGGCGUGCUUAACACAUGCAAGUCGAGCGGUAAGGCUCCUUCGGGAGUACACGAGCGGCGAACGGGUGAGUAACACGUGAGCAAUCUGCCCUUCACAUCGGAAUAAGCGUGGGAAACCGCGUCUAAUGCCGAAUACGACCUCCUUUCGCAUGAUCGGAGGUGGAAAGCUCCGGCGGAGAAGGAUGAGCUCGCGGCCUAUCAGCUAGUUGGUGAGGUAACGGCCCACCAAGGCGACGACGGGUAGCCGGCCUGAGGGGGUGACCGGCCACACUGGGACUGAGACACGGCCCAGACUCCUACGGGAGGCAGCAGUGGGGAAUAUUGGACAAUGGGCGAAAGCCUGAUCCAGCAACGCCGCGUGAGGGAUGACGGCCUUCGGGUUGUAAACCUCUUUCAGCACCGACGAAGCGAUCCUUUGGGGAGUGACGGUAGGUGCAGAAGAAGGACCGGCCAACUACGUGCCAGCCGCCGCAGUAAAAC
rnacentral:rRNA from 1 species